AUGAACGCUAGCUACAGGCUUAACACAUGCAAGUCGAGGGGCAGCAUUUUAGUUUGCUUGCAAACUGAAGAUGGCGACCGGCGCACGGGUGAGUAACACGUAUCCAACCUGCCGAUAACUCCGGAAUAGCCUUUCGAAAGAAAGAUUAAUACCGGAUAGCAUACGAAUAUCGCAUGAUAUUUUUAUUAAAGAAUUUCGGUUAUCGAUGGGGAUGCGUUCCAUUAGUUUGUUGGCGGGGUAACGGCCCACCAAGACUACGAUGGAUAGGGGUUCUGAGAGGAAGGUCCCCCACAUUGGAACUGAGACACGGUCCAAACUCCUACGGGAGGCAGCAGUGAGGAAUAUUGGUCAAUGGGCGAGAGCCUGAACCAGCCAAGUAGCGUGAAGGAUGAAGGCUCUAUGGGUCGUAAACUUCUUUUAUAUGGGAAUAAAGUUUUCCACGUGUGGAAUUUUGUAUGUACCAUAUGAAUAAGGAUCGGCUAACUCCGUGCCAGCAGCCGCGGUAAUACGGAGGAUCCGAGCGUUAUCCGGAUUUAUUGGGUUUAAAGGGAGCGUAGGUGGAUUGUUAAGUCAGUUGUGAAAGUUUGCGGCUCAACCGUAAAAUUGCAGUUGAAACUGGCAGUCUUGAGUACAGUAGAGGUGGGCGGAAUUCGUGGUGUAGCGGUGAAAUGCUUAGAUAUCACGAAGAACUCCGAUUGCGAAGGCAGCUCACUAGACUGUCACUGACACUGAUGCUCGAAAGUGUGGGUAUCAAACAGGAUUAGAUACCCUGGUAGUCCACACAGUAAACGAUGAAUACUCGCUGUUUGCGAUAUACAGUAAGCGGCCAAGCGAAAGCAUUAAGUAUUCCACCUGGGGAGUACGCCGGCAACGGUGAAACUCAAAGGAAUUGACGGGGGCCCGCACAAGCGGAGGAACAUGUGGUUUAAUUCGAUGAUACGCGAGGAACCUUACCCGGGCUUAAAUUGCAACAGAAUAUAUUGGAAACAGUAUAGCCGUAAGGCUGUUGUGAAGGUGCUGCAUGGUUGUCGUCAGCUCGUGCCGUGAGGUGUCGGCUUAAGUGCCAUAACGAGCGCAACCCUUAUCUUUAGUUACUAACAGGUUAUGCUGAGGACUCUAGAGAGACUGCCGUCGUAAGAUGUGAGGAAGGUGGGGAUGACGUCAAAUCAGCACGGCCCUUACGUCCGGGGCUACACACGUGUUACAAUGGGGGGUACAGAAGGCGGCUACCUGGUGACAGGAUGCUAAUCCCAAAAACCUCUCUCAGUUCGGAUCGAAGUCUGCAACCCGACUUCGUGAAGCUGGAUUCGCUAGUAAUCGCGCAUCAGCCAUGGCGCGGUGAAUACGUUCCCGGGCCUUGUACACACCGCCCGUCAAGCCAUGAAAGCCGGGGGUACCUGAAGUACGUAACCGCAAGGAGCGUCCUAGGGUAAAACUGGUAAUUGGGGCU
rnacentral:rRNA from 1 species